GACGUAGGGGGCCAGCGUUGCUCGGAAUUACUGGGCGUAAAGGGUUCGUAGGCGGUGCGGCAAGUUGGGAGUGAAAUCUCUGGGCUCAACCCAGAGGCUGCUUCCAAAACUGCUGUGCUUGAGUGUGGGAGAGGCGCGUGGAAUUGCAGGUGUAGCGGUGAAAUGCGUAGAUAUCUGCAGGAACACCCGUGGCGAAAGCGGCGCGCUGGACCACAACUGACGCUGAGGAACGAAAGCUAGGGGAGCAAACAGG
rnacentral:rRNA from 1 species